UUCGCCCUUUUCCGGUUGAUCCUGCCGGACCCGACUGCUAUCAGAGUGGGACUAAGCCAUGCGAGUCGACGUAGCAAUGCGUGGCGAACGGCUCAGUAACACGUAGUCAACAUGCCCAGGGGACGUGGAUAACCUCGGGAAACUGAGAAUAAACCACGAUAGGUCACGAUUUCUGGAAUGGAUCAUGGCCUAAAUCUACAUGGCCCCUGGAUUGGACUGCGGCCGAUCAGGCAGUUGGUGAGGUAAUGGCCCACCAAACCUAUAACCGGUACGGGCUCUGAGAGGAGAAGCCCGGAGAUGGGCACUGAGACAAGGGCCCAGGCCCUAUGGGGCGCAGCAGGCGCGAAACCUCUGCAAUAGGCGAAAGCCUGACAGGGUUACUCUGAGUGAUUUCCGCUAAGGGGAUCUUUUGGCACCUCUAAAAAUGGUGCAGAAUAAGGGGUGGGCAAGUCUGGUGUCAGCCGCCGCGGUAAUACCAGCACCCCGAGUGGUCGGGACGAUUAUUGGGCCUAAAGCAUCCGUAGCCGGUUCUGCAAGUCUUCCGUUAAAUCCAGCCGCUCAACGGAUGGGCCGCGGAGGAUACUACAGGACUAGGAGGCGGGAGAGGCAAGCGGUACUCAGUGGGUAGGGGUAAAAUCCUUUGAUCCAUUGAAGACCACCAGUGGCGAAGGCGGCUUGCCAGAACGCGCUCGACGGUGAGGGAUGAAAGCUGGGGGAGCAAACCGGAUUAGAUACCCGGGUAGUCCCAGCUGUAAACGAUGCAGACUC
rnacentral:rRNA from 1 species